GCAGUGGGAGCACAGGUUUACCUGUGUGACUGCGUACCUUUUGUAUAAUGGGUCAGCGACUUAUAUUCUGUAGCAAGGUUAACCGUAUAGGGGAGCCGUAGGGAAACCGAGUCUUAACCGGGCGUUAAGUUGCAGGGUAUAGACCCGAAACCCGGUGAUCUAGCCAUGGGCAGGUUGAAGGUUGGGUAACACUAACUGGAGGACCGAACCGACUAAUGUUGAAAAAUUAGCGGAUGACCUGUGGCUGGGGGUGAAAGGCCAAUCAAACCGGGAGAUAGCUGGUUCUCCCCGAAAGCUAUUUAGGUAGCGCCUCGUGAAUUCAUCUCCGGGGGUAGAGCACUGUUUCGGCUAGGGGGCCAUCCCGGCUUACCAACCCGAUGCAAACUGCGAAUACCGGAGAAUGUUAUCACGGGAGACACACGGCGGGUGCUAACGUCCGUCGUGAAGAGGGAAACAACCCAGACCGCCAGCUAAGGUCCCAAAGUCAUGGUUAAGUGGGAAACGAUGUGGGAAGGCCCAGACAGCCAGGAUGUUGGCUUAGAAGCAGCCAUCAUUUAAAGAAAGCGUAAUAGCUCACUGGUCGAGUCGGCCUGCGCGGAAGAUGUAACGGGGCUAAACCAUGCACCGAAGCUGCGGCAGCGAACGUAUCACCCAAGACAACUUUACGGAGUUGACGAUUGACGGAGCGAAGCGACGUCAAAGCGUUCAUUAAAGUCGAGUUGGCUUAGGGAUACGUUCGUUGGGUAGGGGAGCGUUCUGUAAGCCUGUGAAGGUGUGUCGUGAGGCAUGCUGGAGGUAUCAGAAGUGCGAAUGCUGACAUAAGUAACGAUAAAGCGGGUGAAAAGCCCGCUCGCCGGAAGACCAAGGGUUCCUGUCCAACGUUAAUCGGGGCAGGGUGAGUCGACCCCUAAGGCGAGGCCGAAAGGCGUAGUCGAUGGGAAACGGGUUAAUAUUCCCGUACUUGGUGUUACUGCGAAGGGGGGACGGAGAAGGCUAUGUUGGCCGGGCGACGGUUGUCCCGGUUUAAGCGUGUAGGUGUGUGUUCCAGGUAAAUCCGGUUCACUUUAACACUGAGGCGUGACGACGAGGCACUACGGUGCUGAAGCAACAAAUGCCCUGCUUCCAGGAAAAGCCUCUAAGCAUCAGGUAACACGAAAUCGUACCCCAAACCGACACAGGUGGUCAGGUA
rnacentral:rRNA from 1 species